CCCAGGGCGUAGCCCUGGGCUAAGAGCUUCUGCCCUUUCAGGGCG
rnacentral:sRNA from 1 species